AUCAAGAGAUGGUGACGAGGGAAUCGAUGCUUACAGGAAAGGUGGACAUCAUGCUGUGAGAGUUGGAGAUCCGUUCUUUGGUGCUCGAUACAUCGCUCAAAGGAAGCUUGGUUGGGGCAAUUUCUCCACUGUUUGGCUCGCUUACGAUACCCAAUGCUCUG